rnacentral:lncRNA from 1 species
AGCAAAGUCUGACAUCUAGAUGGUACAAAAAGGCCUUUGGCAAUGACAAAUGAGUACCACCCACUUUCGUCUUGUUGUAGUCAACUCUCCCUGAAUUUUAUCUUGUUUUUAACAAUUGUCUGACCAUUGUGGCAUCUCAUAAUGAUGAGAAAAACACUGACUGGGGAACUGAGUCAGAUACGGUGGUAGGACUUUCCAUUUUCUAUCUUCUAUAGUCUUCCCAGCAACUCCAUGAAAAUAUUACAGUCAUUGCCUCAUUUAGUAGAUGAAGAAGCCAAAGGCCUGAGAAGCUAAAGGACUUCUCCAGCUCACACAGCAGGGUGUAUCAGAGCCAAUAUACAAACCUAGGCAGAAAUGUCCUAAAUUUCACUCUUGAAGAGUGAGCAGCCUUUGAUCAUCAAAAUAAAAUUUGUAUUUGAUGUCAGGACCAAUUUUACUACCAACCACCCAAUGGCAUCCAGAGUAGGCAAACUGGAUAGUCUUUCUUAGAAACUCAUUAACUGCACAUAUAUUAAUUAUUUAAUUAUAAAAUAAAACAAAUUUGUUUAAAAUAUUAUAAAUCCUCACAAAUUAUGAACUUUAAGAUUCUGGCACCUGGGGGCACCUGGGUGGUAUAGUUGGUUGGUUGUCUGACUCUUGGUUUCAGCCCAGGUCGUGGUCUCAAGGUCAUGAGAUGAAGCCUUGUGUUGGCUCUGUGCUCAGUGUGGAGUCUACUUGGGACUCUCUCCCUCUGCCCCUGCCCCUGCCCAAUCCCUAUAAACAUAAAUAAAGAGAUCCUAAAAACAAAUUUUUGUCAUCUGACACCUGAAAGACAUAGCCUGGACCUUACAAGCUGCUGCAAGUAGGAAUUUUAGCUGUUUCAUUCUGACUUUCAUCUGAAAUAUUUUUUUUUCACAUUUUACAUAUGAGAGACCAUAUGUUACACACAAGAACAAAAGCAUAGAAUUAUAAAUUUCAUUGUAGCUAAAAUAUAUAGCUAUUUUUAUGAAAUGGUAUUUUCAGUUCAGAUACAUUCAAAGGACAAAUACGAAAUAGGAACAGGAGAGAAAUCUUAUUUAAUCAGAUAUUCAGUAAGGUUCUAACUUGUGAGCGAUGUCAGAUUGAUUCCCAUAUGAUGUAACAAAUCUAAAUAACUAACAGAGCUAAACACAUCUAAAUACCCUCCCUUGACCCCCUGCUCCAUCCUAACCACAACGUUCCCUUGCAAAUGGUGGGCACAUUGGCUUAAACCUGGGGGUUAUGGAGAAGGCUUCAAGGAGUCCUCACUGUCCCCACAAGUUGCCUGGAGUGGCAGUGAGGACUGGAGGGUGUGGUGCUGCAGUGGCCAGCCCUUCCUGCUGUGGUGUCACAGACCAAACUCUGGAGGUCACGGGAGUCACGCCCCUUGAGAGCAAUGGAAGGGAAAAGGAAAUGAUAGUAACUGCUGGAUUUAUUCAAGGUAUUGUACGGCAUGGGGGACACAGUAAACGGUGUUGUCAUAGUGUUGUAUGAUGUGGCAAAUAGUAGUUACAUGCGUGGCCAGCACAGCAUAAGGAAUGCUCAGACUCAUCAAAUCACUAUACUGUUAAUCUGAAACCAACGUAACACUGUGUUUCAACUUACUUUAGUGAAAAUAUAUAUAAAAAUUAAAUUAGUCAGUUCUUAAUUAAACCAUCACGUUCUUCAGGUCUAGCAAUAUUCUAGUUUCUACUAAACAUUAUAAAUCCAUUCAUAGUAUAUGUUAUAACUUCUCUUGUGGUUUUGAGGAAAGGGAUGCUCAACCUGGAAUAAAUUCUUCCAAGUACAAUGACUGACUUUUUAGCAGACUUGAAGUUUGACUGCCAUGAAUGGACAUGGUUUCAUGUGAGGUAAAGCUUUAAAUACUCUUUUACAAGCUUAGCUAGAAACACUGAUCUAAGUGAGAGAUCUAAUUGUGUACUUUCUUGGUCAUAAGUGUUUAGGGUGUUUUUGAAUGGGGGUAAAAGCUAAUUCAUAUGCAUUACUGAGAAAAUUAACUAAUUUCCUGUAAAUUUGUCAAACAGCUUCCAGCUUAUCAGCAAUCAUCUACUGUGCACCUUGCACGUACCUGCCACUGGGUCAGUACUGGACUUGACUCAGUAAGUUAAUCUGAAAGAAAUGAUAAAGAUUAGGGAAAACUCAUUCUCCAUUUGAAUAAAUGCUUCAGAAGAAUCUACAGUGGAUUCUUAGAAUACACAUUUAAUUCCCAAGGGGCACCCGAAGGAACAUGAAACCUAUUUUAAGAAGCACAAUUUGGCUGGAUGUGUAGGAGAUAAAGUGCCUAAAUGUAAGGCUACAUACAGACAGAAGAAAAACAGCAAUAUAUUAUUGCUCCAUCAACCUAAACAGAAUAUGCUGGGCUUUAUUUUCAUGUUGAUUUUGGCAUGAACCACAAUAUACUUGAAUCAUUCUGAAAGAUGAUAAUAGGAGAAUUUGUGUUGGCAACGGGCCAAAUAAAAGCCGAGGAUAAAAAGCAGUAGCCACAAGUGUUUACUUUGGUCUAGAGAGAUUUUGCUAAUCAGAGAGCCAUGGGCAAUUCCCAUUAGAAAAUACACUCUCUCUCAGUCAGUGACAAAAUCUGGAGAGAUCUAGGGGAAGCAAGAGGACACAUGAAGUGGUAACACAGCUUCACACAAGUGAAGUCUGAAGUGGAGAUAAAUCCUGCUGGGCAGUUUCUUUCUCAGCCUCAGGGACACCCACAGUAUGGCAUCUGUGCAGCCUUGCGGAGCUGCCCUGAGAAGUAAAAAGCUUUUAGGAAAGCUUUCCAAGGGACUUGACAAGCACAGCUUUAAGAGAUGGCUUGUCCCCAAGCUGAGACUUUGUUCUCUUAGCUGCACUGGUUGCUCUUCAGACUUUUAGACUUUUCUCAGGAAUUCAGAGGCCAAAAGAAUGGUACUAAGAACAAAUAUAUGUUCUUACACACAGCCAUGACUGACAACAUCUCACUCCGAAUAUAUCACUGUAUCAUACUUAAAACACCUAAAGAAAAACUACCAAUCUCCUCCAGAACACCACCCAACAGACCCUUUCUCAAGUGGGCUCCCUUGAAGGGACAGUGGCAUAACCACCUUAUGGCAAUCAUUACCGAUCCAAGAAACACCAUUAGUUCCCAGUGAAAUGUUCAGUUGUCUUCCAAGGUAUAAGGAACAUAAGAACACUUACAGUUAGUUUAACUAAAGCUACAGUUAUUCUAUGUAAUGAACAAUCGUUUAAUUUGAAAUCAUGUCAUCCCAUUUUGUGUGUGUGUUUAAAAAGCUCUUCAUUUAAAAAAUAACGGUAAAAAACCCCUAGUUUUUAAAAAUGGUUUUGCAUUUUAAGUCUUUAUUUGGCCAAAUUAGGAUGCCUUAAUUGAUAAUAUUUGCCAAUACUGAUCUUACUUUUGUAGUGGAUUGAGCCAUAAAAUUAAAAAGCCCGGGAACUAUUUCAAAUGGUAGAUUUAGCAACAAAAAUUUGGCCUUCCAGACUUUCCACGUUAAGUAUAGGAAAAAAAGUGUAAGGAAGAAGAAUGAACCUUUGUGAACUGGAGGAACUGUAAUGUGUGUAUACAAGAAAAUUGUGAAAAAGGAAACAGUAUGCAAAUUAAACCAGAUGGCACUUUAUUUAUAAAAAUAGGUAAAAUGACAAAAGUACUAUCACUGAGUGUUGGAGUGGGUGGGUGUAAAGAGCAGGCAUUGUCAUAUCCCACUUACAGCAAUGGGUGUGGAUAUAAAUAUGCUCAACUCCCAUUGUUAGUGGCUAUCAAAAGACCUGUCGGUGCACAUUACUUCCACACCAAAUUUCUAUAUGUAGGAAUUUACUUAAAAAAUAGUUAUGGAUUAUCAAAUGAUUGAACUCCCAGGAGGCUCUCCUUAGAAGUAUUCAUAUCAUUAAACAGAUCAGAAAAUAUCCAGCGUACAGAAAUAAGAAGAUGGUUUUAAAAAAAAUCAUGCGGCCUCUAAAACAGAAUAUUACAUAGCAUUAAUAUGGUGUUAAAAUGUGUGAUAAUUUUGAAAGAAUUUUACAAAAUAUUGCUAAUCAGGGGAAAAAACAGAUCCAAAACCUUCUGUGUAGUAUGAUUUAUAGAUAGAGAGACAGAGAUAGAGAGUGAGAAACCUAAAAAUGUAUAUAACAAAACAACAGCUAGGUGGUAAUAUUAAAACAUUUCCCCCUUUUUUGAUGAGUGUUAUGAGUUCAAUUGUGUCCCCAGAAAAGAUAUAUUGAUGAUAAAAAAACAUGUUGAUAUUUUAACCCCAAGCACGUCAAAUUGUUAUCUUAUUGGGAAACAAGGGUUGUAACAGGUAUAAUUUUUUAAGAUGACUUUGUAUUGGGGUGGAGCAGGCUCUCAGCCCAAUAUGGCUGGUGCCCUUACGAGAAGCCAUCAUGAAGACAGAGACACAAAGAAAAAACACCCUGUGACAACAGAAGCAGGGCCUGGAGUGAAGCAGCUGUCAGCCAAGGAACAUUGAGAUCAACCACCACCAGAAGCUAGAAAGAGGCAAGGAAGGAUUCCACCCAGAGACUCAGAGGGAGCAAAGCUUUGUGGACACCUUGAUUUUGGACUUCUACCCUCUGGCGCUGUGAAAGAAGUUUCUAUUUAUUUUAAGCUACCCAGUUUAUGUACUUUGCUAUAUGGCUGCUCUGGGAAACUAAUACAGUGGUAACACAUUCAGGAAACCACAAAAACAUGAAUUCACAGUUCAAGGAAUUUGUGAAAGCAGGUCCUAUAUGACUACACCAGGAGUUGCCCUAAUGACUCUUCCCAAUCUUCAUCCCUAGCCCCUUUCCCACAGAUAACCACUAUCAUGAUUUCUAACCCUCUAAUUUUUUGCUGUAGAAAAUGCACUUAUAAAUGGAACCAGAUAGUAGGCAUUCCUGUAUGGCUUCUUUCACCCAGUAUGUUUCUUCUUUCACCCAAUAUGGUUUUAAACCACAUAUAUACCAUAAUCUAUGCUUCCAUUUAUCCCUGAUGGAUACUUAGGGUUCUUUGCA